UCCCUCUGUAGAAGAUGGCAGCG
rnacentral:piRNA from 1 species